rnacentral:antisense_RNA from 1 species
CUUGAGCGAACCCAGCCACAACGGCCGGUCCUCGGGCCGUCCCCGACCGUAGGUGGCCAGCAGUGCCUGGGCCUC